rnacentral:rRNA from 1 species
AUGCACCCCUACAAAACCACGGAAAUCCAUAAUUUUUCACAACACAGAGGAAGAGCACACAGACAAGCAGACCACGCGCCCACAGCCUCAGCCUCAGGUCUCCCUCCGCGCACCGCAGCCACCACCAAGUGCAACCAAUCCCCCGACAAAACCCCAUCCACUCCUUUAUCAGCGUUUCCCUCCCUUUCCUCCCCUCCCCUCCCCUCCAUCCAUCCUCAGCCGCCCCUUCGCCGGCCGGCCAUGGCAAAUGCUUCCCUCCAGUCCUUCCUCCCCCAGCACCACCAUUCCUUCCUCAACAGCAACACCCACGACGGCUCCCCUCCCGCGCUCCUCAAGCUCACCACCAACAGCACCAACGCCAGCAACAGCAUUUCCUUCAAGCUCUUCGCCAGCAGCUCCUCCUCGGUGACCACAACCGCCAACUCGCCGGCUCCGACUCCGGUCGCCGCCGCCGCCGCGGCGACAACCUCGCCGCCCACCCCCUCCCUGGAGCUCCUGGGCCAGCAGCUCGCGGCGGGGGACUACCGGCAGGCCGACGAGACCACGCGCGCCCUCCUCAUCGUCCUCGCGGGCGAGGCCGCGCGCCGCCGAGGGUACGUCUUCUUCUCGGAGGUCCAGUUCAUCUCCGUCGAGGACCUCCGCGCCGUGGACGCGCUCUGGCUGGAGCACAGCGGCGGCAGGUUCGGGUACAGCGUGCAGCGCCGGGUUUGGGACAAGUCGCUGCGCGAGUUCACCCGAUUCUUCAUCAAGAUCGGCUGGAUGAAGAAGCUGGACACCGAGGUGGAGCAGUUCAACUACAGGGCCUUCCCCGACGAGUUCAUCUGGGAGCUCACCGACGACACGCCGGAGGGCCACCUGCCCCUCACCAAUGCCCUCAGGGGGACGCGGCUCCUGGAGAACAUCUUCACCCACCCCGCCUUCGACUGCGAAGAAGAUGAAGCAGCAGGGGCAGAUGAGGAGGCUGACAAGGGCAGUGCCACUGGUCAGAAUAAUAAGGAUGACAACAAAGGCAGGGGCAGGCCAAAGAGUUUGACAGAUUUCAAGCCCGACUACUCCUUUUAA